rnacentral:rRNA from 1 species
AGGUUAAGCUAAUAAGAGCACACGGAGGAUGCCUAGGCGCCAGGAGCCGACGAAGGACGUGGCGAACAACGAAACUGCCUCGGGGAGCUGUAAGCAAGCUUUGAUCCGGGGGUGUCCGAAUGGGGAAACCCAGCUGUGGUAAUUCGCAGUUACUCGUAUCUGAAUACAUAGGAUGCGUAGAGGCAGACCAGGGGAACUGAAACAUCUAAGUACCCUGAGGAAGAGAAAACAAUAGUGAUUCCGUCAGUAGCGGCGAGCGAACGCGGAACAGCCUAAACCAAGGAGCUUGCUCCUUGGGGUUGUGGGACGUCUCACAUGGAGUUACAAAGGAAUAUGGUAGGCGAAGAGGUCUGGAAAGGCCCGCGAUAGAGGUAAAAGCCCUGUAGCCUAAACUGUGUUCUCUCCGAGACGGAUCCCGAGUAGUGCGGGGCACGUGAAACCCCGUAUGAAUCCGGCAGGACCAUCUGUCAAGGCUAAAUACUACCUGGCGACCGAUAGUGAAACAGUACCGUGAGGGAAAGGUGAAAAGCACCCCGGAAGGGGAGUGAAAUAGAACCUGAAACCGUGUGCUUACAAAAAGUCAGAGCCCGAUCUAUGGGUGAUGGCGUGCCUUUUGUAGAAUGAACCGGCGAGUUACGUUUAACAUGCAAGGUUAAGGUGAGAAGCCGGAGCCGCAGCGAAAGCGAGUCUGAAUAGGGCGAUUUAGUAUGUGGACGUAGACCCGAAACCGUGUGAUCUACCCCUGUCCAGGGUGAAGGUGCGGUAACACGCACUGGAGGCCCGAACCCACGUACGUUGAAAAGUGCGGGGAUGAGGUGGGGGUAGCGGAGAAAUUCCAAUCGAACUCGGAGAUAGCUGGUUCUCCCCGAAAUAGCUUUAGGGCUAGCCUCGGUGAAUGGAGUGAUGGAGGUAGAGCACUGAUUGGGUGCGGGGCCCGCAAGGGUUACCAAGCUCAGUCAAACUCCGAAUGCCAUUAACUUCUUGCCGGGAGUCAGACAGUGAGUGCUAAGAUCCAUUGUCAAAAGGGAAACAGCCCAGACCAUCAGCUAAGGUCCCCAAGUGUGUGUUAAGUGGGAAAGGAUGUGGAGUUGCACAGACAACCAGGAUGUUGGCUUAGAAGCAGCCACCAUUUAAAGAGUGCGUAAUAGCUCACUGGUCGAGUGACUCUGCGCCGAAAAUGUAACGGGGCUAAACACACCACCGAAGCUAUGGCUAGAUACGUAUGUAUCUGGGGUAGGGGAGCGUUGUAUGUGGGUUGAAGGUGUACCGUAAGGAGCGCUGGACAGCAUACAAGUGAGAAUGCCGGUAUGAGUAACGAAAAGAUCAGUGAGAAUCUGAUCCGCCGAAAGCCCAAGGUUUCCUGAGGAAGGCUCGUCCGCUCAGGGUAAGUCGGGACCUAAGGCGAGGCCGAUAGGCGUAGUCGAAGGACAACAGUUUGAAAUUACUGUACCACCGUAAUCCGCUAUGAGCGAUGGGGUGACGCAGGAGGGUAGUGACGCGGACUGAUGGAUGUCCGUCUAAGCAGUGAGGCUGGUGUGUAGGCAAAUCCGCACACUGUUAAGGCCAGGCUGUGAUGGGGAGCGAAAAUUGUAGUAGCGAAGGUCAUGAUCUCACACUGCCAAGAAAAGCCUCUAGCCAGGAGAAGGUGCCCGUACCGCAAACCGACACAGGUAGGCGAGAAGAGAAUUCUAAGGCGCGCGGAAGAACUCUCGUUAAGGAACUCGGCAAAAUGACCCCGUAACUUCGGGAGAAGGGGUGCCUCGGUAGGGUGAAUAGCCCGAGGGGGCCGCAGUGAAAAGGCCCAAGCGACUGUUUAGCAAAAACACAGGUCUGUGCGAAGCCGCAAGGCGAAGUAUACGGGCUGACGCCUGCCCGGUGCUGGAAGGUUAAGGGGAGUGGUUAGGAGCAAUCCGAAGCUAUGAACCGAAGCCCCAGUAAACGGCGGCCGUAACUAUAACGGUCCUAAGGUAGCGAAAUUCCUUGUCAGGUAAAUUCUGACCCGCACGAAUGGCGUAACGACUUGGGCGCUGUCUCAACGAGAGAUCCGGUGAAAUUUUAAUACCUGUGAAGAUGCAGGUUACCCGCGACAAGACGGAAAGACCCCAUGGAGCUUUACUGCAGCUUGAUAUUGAAUUUGGGUACGAUCUGUACAGGAUAGGUGGGAGCCGUAGAAACAGGAGCGCAAGCUUCUGUGGAGGCGCCGUUGGGAUACCACCCUGAUCGUAUCUAGGUUCUAACCUGGUGCCCUUAACGGGUACGGGGACCGUGUCAGGCGGGCAGUUUGACUGGGGCGGUCGCCUCCUAAAGAGUAACGGAGGCGUUCAAAGGUUCCCUCAGAAUGGUUGGAAAUCAUUCGAAGAGUGCAAAGGCAUAAGGGAGCUUGACUGCGAGACCAACAAGUCGAGCAGGGACGAAAGUCGGACUUAGUGAUCCGGUGGUACCGCAUGGAAGGGCCAUCGCUCAACGGAUAAAAGCUACCCUGGGGAUAACAGGCUUAUCUCCCCCAAGAGUCCACAUCGACGGGGAGGUUUGGCACCUCGAUGUCGGCUCAUCGCAUCCUGGGGCUGAAGUAGGUCCCAAGGGUUGGGCUGUUCGCCCAUUAAAGCGGUACGCGAGCUGGGUUCAGAACGUCGUGAGACAGUUCGGUCCCUAUCUGUCGUGGGCGCAGGAAAUUUGAGAGGAGCUGUCCUUAGUACGAGAGGACCGGGAUGGACGUACCGCUGGUGCACCAGUUGUUCCGCCAGGAGCAUGGCUGGGUAGCUACGUACGGACGGGAUAAGCGCUGAAAGCAUCUAAGCGUGAAGCCCCCCUCAAGAUGAGAUUUCCCAAUUAGUAAGACCCCUUGGAGACGACGAGGUAGAUAGGUUGGAGGUGGAAGUGCAGUAAUGCAUGGAGCUGACCAAUACUAAUCGGUCGAGGGCUUAUCCAAU